UACGUAGGGGGCUAGCGUUGUCCGGAAUCAUUGGGCGUAAAGAGCGUGUAGGCGGCCCGGUAAGUCCGCUGUGAAAGUCGGGGGCUCAACCCUCGAAUGCCGGUGGAUACUGUCGGGCUAGAGUGCGGAAGAGGCGAGUGGAAUUCCUGGUGUAGCGGUGAAAUGCGCAGAUAUCAGGAAGAACACCCGUGGCGAAGGCGGCUCUCUGGGAUGGUACUGACGCUGAGACGCGAAAGCGUGGGGAGCGAACAGG
rnacentral:rRNA from 1 species